AUUCUCUGCUCUGUUGCUUUCCUACAGAAUGCUAUGGGCGUCUCUUAACUUGGAGGAGGUAUUUCUUACGCAUUUCUGUAAAACCUGAGUCAAACUCAAAGCUGUUGUUAAUUUGCCGGGAAAGAUUAGCAGUGGUUCUGCUCCGGACGAAUAGUAAGACCAGUCGGACAAGGCCGAGAGAGAAUCAUGAAAAUGGUUCACUCCACAAUGAGGCGGUUUGGGUUUGAAGAUCGGGUCGAACCAGAUCCCAUCCCGACGGUUUGAAAACCCUAAACCCUGCUCUGUAGCUGGUAAAAGCAUAAUUUCCAAAGGAAGUUCGAGACAAAACUUCUAGACAAAUCAAGCAAAGAAGAGAAAUCUGAAAGUCGUUGACAAGGAAGAAAGAGAGGAUCGACUCCUGUUCUGGGCUUUCGGAUUAUUCUGUUUUUAAGUUGAGGGUGAAUUUUUGAGAUUUCCAGUAUAUUAUAUCGCUCUGGUCAGUGAAUAGCAGUCUUUGUGGAAGAUUGACGGUUUACAGAGCAAGUUCUAUAAAUUUUCCAUCAGAACUCCGAAGUUAUAGAACAGCCAUAGCUAAUGGGUUUCGUGCUUAAAGCUCCAACAAACUUUCUGCGACAGGAAAACCUUGUAUCUUUCUCCAGAAGCUCUAGGAGGAACUGUCUUACUCUUAGAAAGCAGAGACUAACAGUUUCAAUGUCAUCCGUGGCCAAUACAGCAACUUCGAUAGUCAAGCCAGAAACUGAGAAAAAUCUUGGGUUUCCAAUUAUGGUGAAUGGCUGCACUGGAAAAAUGGGAAAGGCAAUUAUACAAGCAGCAGUUUCAGCAGGACUUGAGUUAGUUCCUGCAUCAUUUAGCAGUCCAGAGGAAGCUGGUCAAGUUGUGCAAGCAGGUGGGAAAGAGAUUCAGAUAUAUGGUCCUCCUGAAAGAGAAGGUGUUCUUGCAUCACUCUUUGAUGAACACCCAAAUCUGAUUGCCGUGGACUUUACUGUGCCUGCUGCAGUGAAUGGCAAUGCAGAGCUAUACUGCAAAGUUGGUGUACCUUUUGUAAUGGGAACUACAGGUGGGGAUAGGGAAAGACUGUAUAAGACUGUGGAAGACUCAAAUGUUUAUGCUGUAAUCUCUCCACAGAUGGGAAAACAGGUUGUUGCAUUUCUUGCUGCUAUGGAGAUUAUGGCCGAACAAUUUCCUGGAGCCUUUUCAGGUUAUUCUUUACAAGUAAUGGAGUCUCAUCAAGCAAGCAAGUUGGACACGUCUGGAACAGCCAAGGCUGUCAUCUCCUGCUUCCAGAAACUUGGUGUCUCUUUUGAUUUGGAUCAGAUACAACAAAUUCGGGAUCCUAAACAACAAAUUGAGUUGGUAGGGGUCCCAGAGGAAUACCUAUCUGGCCAUGCAUUCCAUAUGUAUCACCUUACAUCACCUGACCAGACAGUUUCUUUUGAGUUUCAGCAUAAUGUCUGUGGGAGAUCAAUAUAUGCUGAGGGCACUGUUGAUGCUGCCAUUUUCCUAGCCAAGAAGGUUCGAACCAAGGCUGACAAGAGAAUCUACAAUAUGAUUGAUGUGUUACAGGAAGGAAAUAUGCGAUGAUAGGUGGUUUUGAUUUUUGAAGGCAUUGGUGCGGUGGUAAAAUCUUCAGUGCAUAAGAAUGCGGGUUCCGGCUGGCCAUUCAUGCAAAAAACUGCAGGGGGGGGGUAAUUAGACCAGGAUGCUGUGUACUGCUUCGAAUUUUGCAUUUACCAACCUAGGGUUGUCUCAUUGGUGUGUUAGCUUGUUUGUUCCAGCGUUGACGUGGAAUCAAAUCUUGCAACGAGCACUUUGGGAAAAACCGAAAAAUGGGUCAGGGGAAAGUUAAUGAUGAAUUGCAUUUAAUUAUGUACAACAUAUAGACCUGUAAAGUGGGCUGGGCUGCCCGCGGGAAGACACAGCCCAGCAUGACUCAGGCCGUGCCAAACCCUGUGCUGUUCCGGGCUGGUCGGGGUUUUGCCGUUUUGAUGCUUGUUUU